ACUCCUACGGGAGGCAGCAGUGGGGAAUUUUCCGCAAUGGGCGCAAGCCUGACGGAGCAACGCCGCGUGAGGGAUGAAGGCCUCUGGGCUGUAAACCUCUUUUAUCAAGGAAGAAGAUCUGACGGUACUUGAUGAAUAAGCCACGACUAAUUCCGUGCCAGCAGCCGCGGUAAUAC
rnacentral:rRNA from 1 species